AUGGUAGCUGCAGCGGAGGCCGCCGGUGUCACCGUGGUGGCGGGACGCAGGAGCAAGUGCUUCACGCGGAGCCUCUACUGGCGCCUCCGUGCUGCCCUCCGGCGGCUGCACUCGGAGCGCGGCAGGUGGCGCAGGCAGCAGUUGUGCUUCCACUACGACGCCCUCAGCUACUCGCUCAACUUCGACGACGGCCACGGCGGCUGA
rnacentral:rRNA from 1 species